CUCAAGGUCACUAGCUUGGCCCUACUAUCCUUGGCCUGCCAAAAGGGAGCGCAUGUCCCUCUGAGAAGGGCAGGCCCUUGAGCUUUGGUCUAGGCCUCAGAGAGAGUUCCCAGGCUAAACUAUAUGUUUGAUUGCACUGACAUACCUCUAUUUUUGUUUUGUUAAGCAUCUUCUGACUGAGAGAGAUGAAAUCUAAAAGAUGCUUUCUUAAAUCGUUUAUUUCUGUAUUCUCCUCAGAGAUGUGCAGGCUUAAGAGCAGGCACUGGGAGCUGCCAGGCCCAGAGAGUGUUGAUGCACAAAAUCCAAGUGCUCAGUCUAAAGCCAGCACUUCUUUUGGGGGAUGUGAGGGAUAAGAGGAAAGCCAGCUUUAAAAUUGUCCCAGGAAGGAAAGCAUUACUGUGUAAAGCACCGAAGAAUGAGCUGGGAUUGUAAAGCCCCUCCUCCAACUGGUGCAAGCUUCCUGGGGCCGGCAUUAUUGCUCCUGAAAUGUGCUGUUAGUGCAAGGUGUGAGAGGACCCAGUGGUUGUGACAGUUGACCCUGAGAAGGGGCUGCAUGCAGUUUGGCACAGCCCAUCCUGCGGGCACUCCCUGCCCUGCACCAUCAUGGCAAUGACACUUCCUCACCAGCUCAGCCCUAGGUGUGUGCCCAUCAUUCAGCAUCAAUCAAACAUCAGCCCAAGACAGUUCCUCUUCACUCAACACAGCCCAGGCAAGUCAAAAGGUUGGUAAGCCACAUCAACAGUUGUUUUCACUAUUCACCAUCUCAUGUUUGUACAGCACCUUCUCUGAGGAAUCUUGGACAAGGUUAAGGCCUCCAGAUGUUACUGCAGUAUGUGGGGUGCCAGGUAAGCCCACAACAACAUCAGCAGAAGUUCUAGAUGGUGCUGUGGUGCAUCCAAAUCUGUGGCCCAUGUGGUCAAAUGGUAUUUGAGGCCAGUGUACAUACAGAUAUAUGCUUUGGGCCUUAAAGUAUGCAUAAGAUUAUUUUUCUUUAUAAGCCUGAUGGUUAAGUGUUGAUUUAUAUAUGAAGCAAGAAUUUAUCUUUCAAAACUCACUGUAUAAUUUGCAAAUAUCUGUGUGACUCUAGAUGUCUGUUAAACGUGUUAAUGCCUUAUCUGCCCUAAGCUCAGGGAAGAUCUUUGUUAUCAUUGUCUCUGCCAGUUAAUUGUUGAUUCGCUGAAAAACAGUUCUACUAAUUUUAAAUUUGCCAUGUUUCAGGUAGUGGCUUCUGCGAAUGUUACAGCAGAAAAGUUUGAGGGAUCUAGAUUUUAAUCAAUUUUUUAGCAAUUACAUGCAAGUGCCUUCUAAAAUUCUGUAAUAGAA
rnacentral:lncRNA from 1 species